ACUUUUAUUUGUAUAAUAAUAUGUACCAUAUAUUUACUCAUAGAUAUAUAUAAUUAAUUAAUUAUAAAUAAUAAUACUAUUUAAUAUAUCCUAAUAUGGAACUAAAUAUUUUGUUAAUAUAUAAUAUAUCCUCAUAUAUAUAUUAGUAUAUACCAUUAAUAACACAUAUACUAUAUAUGAUAUAUUAUAUAAUUUAUUCUUUUUAUAAAUAAAUAUUAUAUAUAUAUUAUUAAAUAUUUUAUUUUAAUAAUUAAUAUAUUGGGCUUUUGGGUCGGGCUCGGGCCGGGCUUGGACAUGCCCAAAUAAGCCCAAAAUUUUUUCGGGCCUAAAUUUUGAAGCCCGGCCUGAACCCAAAGUUAAAUUUUUAAUACCCAAAGCCCGGCCGAAACAUGGCCCAUCGAGCCGAGCCUUGUUUAGGCCCGGGCCCAGUUCCACCCCUAAUUUAAACUACCUGAUUUAGCCCUAAGGGCCGUUGUAUUAUUUUAUACUGUAGCAGUAUCCUCAUAGUGAGUAUUCCAGAUAGUUUAGCUUUCAGUUACGCUCGUGCCGGGAUGCCGAGUAUAUUUUUACAAUAGCGUUCAGGCUGUUCCGGACUGUUGGGUGCCGUCGGGGUUGUCGGUGGACCCGUAUCGCAUUUUUGGCGUCGGAUUGUGCCGAGGGCAUGUUACCUGUUGGUUGUUAGACCAGUUUGAGUCGGUUACUGGACUUUGGCUUUUGAGAGCUUGAUUGAGCUCGACAGAGAUACGCUGCAUACUCGGUUGGGUAGCUCCCACGAGUGCCACUCCGGAGACGGGCUUUGUGCUUUCGCGUUGGUGUCGCUCAUGCCGGUUGGACUUGCUCUCCACG
rnacentral:lncRNA from 1 species